AUAAUUUACUAACAAAAAAUAUAUGAACAAAAAAAUUAUAAUAAAAAUAAAUUAAACAAAAAAAAUAAGAAAGAAAAAGAUGAUGAAAAUAUAUGAGAAAGAAAAAAUUGAUGAAGGAGAAAAAUGAGAAAGAAAAAGAUGAAGAAGAAGAUAAAUUGAAAGAAAAAGAUAAUGAAGAAAAUAGAUGAGAAAAAAUAAUGAGAAAGGAAAAUAGAUGAAGAAAAUAUGUUAGAAUGGAAAAGGUGAUGAAUAAAAUAUAUGAGAAUAAAAAAGAUGAUGAAGAAAAUGAGAGAAAGAAAAGAAAGAAAGAAAAAAAAAGGAAGAGGGAGUUGGGGUGCAAGGAAGAAUGAAAGAAGGGAAUAACUGAAGGAGACAUACAGUUACAGCAGAGAAAGCUGCAAAGCUGCUUCAAUAAUAUUGCAUCAUGAAGACAAUACUUAAGCUACCAUUGUUAACAAAUAAUCUGGUUCUAGCAUUCAAAACUACACAAACCUUGUGCAAAAUUUCAAUAUUUCAUUCUUCAGAAUUAAACUACUGCCACUGCUCAAAAAAAAUAUACUGCCAGAAUAUCCCAAACAAAUCUCAAGUCAUGACAGAUCAGUCAGCCAGACCAAAGGAACAGAGGUUUUCAUUCAUCCGCUUCUGAUGAGCAAUUGUACUCUAUAAAGGUUUUCAUUCUUCCUUCUAUUUGUAACGUGUGAGAAAAUCAAUACCAAACAUCCAAGCUAGGAAACACUAAAAAACACAGACAGUAGUGAGCAGUACCUCCCAUCCUUACAUUGAGAUCAUCAGGAGAGUCUUGCAGCCCCAAAAUCAUAGAUAACUUCACUAAGCUUGGACUUAUCCAAGCACCAAUUAUAAUUUUCAUUCAUAAUGUUCGUAAUAGUAAGCUCUAGUAACUUACAAACUGAUUUGAUUCAUUGCUGA
rnacentral:misc_RNA from 1 species